AGAAGGUAACUUUACGUUUUCUGAGGUUUGCAUUCAUCAGAACCAUCAAAUAUGCAUUUUCUUAAAGUCGCAGUGCUCCUUGUAGCAGUUCUUGCUGCAGUGUUCGGAACCAGCAUGGCCAAGGGUCAUGGUGGUGGUCAUGGUCAUGGUCAUGGAGGUGGUCAUGGAGGUGGAAAGGGUCAUGGCGGCAAAGGUCAUGGUGGUGGCCAUGGGGGCAAGGGACACGGAGGCCAUGGUGGCGGACACGGGGGCAAAGGACAUGGAGGCGGCCAUGGAGGAAAGGGGCACCAUGGAUAAACAUAGCAGCUGAAAGAUGUGUCACGAGAAAGCCCUUGUUUUUUAUUCCACUGCUGCUGGACAACGGGGAAAC